rnacentral:rRNA from 1 species
GACGAACGCUGGCGGCGCGCUUAACACAUGCAAGUCGAGCGACGAAAGGCCCUUCGGGGCCCUGAAAGCGGCGAACGGGUGAGUAACACGUGGGUAACCCACCCUCGGUUCCGGGAUAGCCCGGGGAAACCCGGAUUAAUACCGGAUGGCCCUUUGGAUCUUCGGAUCUGACGGGAAAGGUAGCUUCGGCCUCCGGUCGAGGACGAGCCCGCGGCGGAUUAGCUUGUUGGUGGGGUAACGGCUCACCAAGGCGACGAUCCGUAGCUGGUCUGGGAGGACGAUCAGCCACACUGGGACUGAGACACGGCCCAGACUCCUACGGGAGGAAGCAGUGGGGAAUCUUGCGCUAAUGCGGGCAACCGGGACGCAGCGACGCCGCGUGAGGGAAGAAGGCCUUCGGGUUGUAAACCUCUUUCAGGAGGGACGAAGCCACUCGGGUGAAUAGCCCAGAGGGUGACGGUACCUCCAGAAGAAGCCCCGGCUAACUACGUGCCAGCCGCCGCCGUAACAC